AAACACGUGAUUCAAGGAGUGAAUGAGUGAAUUACAGGCCACAGUGAGAAGGACAGACUAAGGGGACUGGUUAUAGUGGGACAGACAGGCCGAGGGGACUGGUUACGGUAGGACAGACAAGCUGAGGCAACAGGUUAUAGAGGGAUGGCCAGACUGAGGGGACUGGUUACAGCGAGACGGAGAGGCCGAUGGGAUAGGUUAUAGUGAGAUCAGCUUUACAGCUCGUAGUGCUGAGUCACAGUGUACUUAUUUGACAAGUAGGGCUAUGUGCUGUUGAAUUGAGUUAAGUCAAUAAAAACAGUAAAUAAAACAAGGUGAUGACAGUUUACACGUUUAAAUCCAGAGUUAUCUCUGUUUUUAAAUUGAAAUUGUGCCCAGUUAACAAGGAAAACAACUCAUGCAGUAUUGUUGAGUUUGUGUUGGGAGGAAGAAAAGAACAUCCUGCAACUUUGCACAGCAUUAACAGAUGUGGAUAAUAAAGAUUAGUUAUCUCUCAGUCUGUUAAAUGAUGUCCUGUUAAAGUUUACUCAGGCUUCUCGUGGGGACACACUCACUUUAAUCAUUUACUCACAACUUCACAACAUAAAACAGAGUGAGUCUGCAAUCAUUUCAGCAGUUCUGUGAGACUGUGCUACACCCACAAAACAUAACGAAGUAAUUAUCAACCCGAACAGAACAAACCUUGUCAGGUUCUGGUUUUAUGACCAAAAGUCUUUCUACAGCUACAAAUGAGACAAACUGUCUUUCAGAGUCAAGUCCAAUCAGUUUGAGUUUACCUUCAGUUUAGGAUGGACAUGAAGAAGCGCAGCGUGACACUGUCGGUCCAGCCGUCCAGGGGGCUCAUGGAUGAGAAGUUCACCAUCUUGGUCCAGAAUGUCCCAUCUGGUUUCCACUUGACUAUCCACGGCCUCCAUCACUGUGAAGAGGGUAACACCUGGGAGGCUUUCGCUCACUACACCGCCAAUGCCACCGGGACUGUCAAUGUUUCAGAGGAUCCCAGUCUGGGCGGGACUUAUUCUGGGGUAGAACAAAUGGGUCUACUGUGGAGUCUCAGACCAGUUCAAGGCAGCAAACCUUGGCUCAGGCUGAGAAAGACGAACGUCCAGACUCCCAUGGAGUUCACAGUCUCGGUGUAUCACGGUCACCAGACGGAGGGCUUUGCAGAUCAGGUGCCACUGGCUGCUGUGGUGGUGGAGCGCUGGUACAUGGCGCCCGGUGUCCACAGGAUCCCAAUCACAGAGGACGGGCUCGAUGCAACCCUCUUCCUGCCGCCAGGUAGGGCCAGGAACGUUUCCUGUGGGUGGAGCUCAGGACCGGGACCUUUCCCUGGUCUCUUGGAUCUGUGGGGAGGUGGAGGGAGGUUGGAGGAGUACCGUGCGGCACUGCUGGCCUCCCAUGGCUUCGCCUCCCUGGCUCUCGACUACCUGACACCUAAAAUCACAGCAGAAACUGAGAAGAUGGUGGACAACAACUAUUUUGAGGUGGCCUACAGAGUCCUGGAGCAGCAUCCUCAGGUCUUCAGCAGCAGGAUUGCCAUGUUGGGUCUUUCCUUAGGUGCUACUAUCACCUUCAAAAUGGCUGCUUACUCCCAAGUUGUAAAGCUCAGGUGCGCGGUGUGUAUUAGCGGAAGUCAUGUGCAGCCAGUUGAAGGAUCUUUGGCAGACAUGAUAACUUACUGUGCCCAAAACGCUGCAAAAGCUCGCUUCACUGCGGACAACCAGAGGAUCUACCACGAUCUGCUGCUGCCCAUCCCCACUGACCCCAAACUCAAAGUGGACGUGGGACGAAUCCAGUGUCCUCUGUUGCUGGUCGUAGGUGAGGACGAUCAGAACUGGCCUGCCUAUGAGUCUGCAGUGGAUAUCAAGGAGAUGAUGGAGCAGGCUGGAAACAGCUACCUGUUGACCUUGCUGUCGUACCCAAAUGCUGGUCACCUGAUUGAACCGCCGUACACACCACACAUCCGGACCAGCAUUUUUAAAUCGAUGAACAAAGAGAAGGAUUAAUAAAAGGGCAGAGAUCAAGGUUGCAGUGGCCAUAACAUCCCAUUAGCAUUCACCAAUCAUCUUAGUCUUCUGUUCAGAGAGUGUUUUCAAGACUCCAGAAUUGUGAAAUAAUCUUCAGCAAGAACUAAAACGUCGGCUAUCAUCAAUGAGGCAAUUCAACCAUCUCCUCCCAUAUAAUGAGCCGAGGGAACAGGACCACUUAAAUGAUGAAUCCCUGGAGUACCACAUGAUGGAAGGAAAACACAUCCCUGAUGCAAUCUGGAGAGAUGCUGUUGUCAGAGCAAGUGAGGAUGGAGAGUACCACAGGAUGGAUCGAAUCUGGGCCUAUCUCAGCCCUGUGAAGAACUGCAUAAGUGGCACCCUACGAUUCACAAGACUGGUAAAGGUUGGACAGCUAGCGUUGUAGUCUGCCACAUUCUAACGCUGAUGCUGAACGUACUUUCUCUGUGGUUUUGACCUCUGUUCUGUAAGACAGACACACGGAAUAGACUGUCUCUUGAUGGCACACUUUCAUCCAUUAUAUCUAUCAAAAUGAGCCCUAACAUUGAGCCCUGCUGCGAAUAUGAGCCCCCUGCUCAGAUUGUAAAAGACGCCAAGACUGCCACAACCUGCUACAACAGGUCAAAUGUCAAUGUGGUGGACCUGCAGCUACUUGAGGAAAAGUAAUGAUACUCAUAGUAAAAUGUUACUCCAGUAAAAGGAGAAGUCCUCCCUUUGCAUUUUCACUUGUUUAAGUGCAGAAGUACUUUUUUUCAAGUGUAUUUAAGUAUCAGAAGUAAAACUACUGUAAUUUAUUAUGACUGCAGUAAUGUUACAUUGCUAUUGCUGAGGAUUUGGCUCAGGCUUUUGUUUUCCACGUUUUAGGUAGUUACUGUAAAACGUAACGCACCAAAUCCAAGCCGUCCUGAACAUGUUCAGUAUUGUUGUAGAAGAACUUUAAUACGAUGGAAAAUGUUUUGGCCAAUGACACCACAAAGCUGUUGUACCGUCUAUAUUGUGCGAAGCCGUGCAACGACAUAAACACUGGCUAAUGCAAUGACAUUGGCAGGGCUGUUCUUAAAUGCCUAAUAGUCGGUUUGACGGAGGUGAAAGCAAAUUAGUCUUUGUGGUCGGUACAGGUUUAGACAGUAAGAGGUGUGCGGCGGCGGUGGCCCAAAAUAUGUAGUGGCCCGCUGCAGGCGCACGUUUGGGGAGAAAUCUGACUCCAGCCAAACGACAAACGUUAGCAACCCUGUGUCGCCAUCUUGUGUCCCAUCACCAUGAGAUGUUGCCGUGGGAGGAGACUGAAGCGCCACCCGCUGAGGUUGGACUAUGGACGGGCUGUGGAGGUACACAUUAAAACCUGGACCUGGAGGACAGACGAUAAACCUGAAGACAGCCGCUCUAGCGUUCUCACAGCCCGGGCAGUAAGUGUAGCUUAC